GACGAACGCUGGCGGCGUGCUUAACACAUGCAAGUCGAACGGAAAGGCCCUGCUUUUGUGGGGUGCUCGAGUGGCGAACGGGUGAGUAACACGUGAGUAACCUGCCCUUGACUUUGGGAUAACUUCAGGAAACUGGGGCUAAUACCGGAUAGGAGCUCCUGCUGCAUGGUGGGGGUUGGACAGUUUCGGCGGUUGGGGAUGGACUCGCGGCUUAUCAGCUUGUUGGUGGGGUAGUGGCUUACCAAGGCUUUGCCGGGUAGCCGGCCUGAGAGGGUGACCGGCCACAUUGGGACUGAGAUACGACCCAGACUCCUACGGGAGGCAGCGGUGGGGAAUAGUGCACAAUGGGCGGAAGCCUGGUGCAGCAACGCCGCGUGCGGGAUGACGGCCUUCGGGUUGUAAACCGAUUUCGCCUGUGACGAAGCGUGAGUGACGGUAAUGGGUAAAGAAGCACCGGCUAACUACGUG
rnacentral:rRNA from 1 species